rnacentral:rRNA from 1 species
AUGAACGCUGGCGGCGUGCCUAAUACAUGCAAGUCGAGCGAACAGACGAGGAGCUUGCUCCUCUGACGUUAGCGGCGGACGGGUGAGUAACACGUGGAUAACCUACCUAUAAGACUGGGAUAACUUCGGGAAACCGGAGCUAAUACCGGAUAAUAUAUUGAACCGCAUGGUUCAAUAGUGAAAGACGGUUUUGCUGUCACUUAUAGAUGGAUCCGCGCCGCAUUAGCUAGUCGGUAAGGUAACGGCUUACCAAGGCAACGAUGCGUAGCCGACCUGAGAGGGUGAUCGGCCACACUGGAACUGAGACACGGUCCAGACUCCUACGGGAGGCAGCAGUAGGGAAUCUUCCGCAAUGGGCGAAAGCCUGACGGAGCAACGCCGCGUGAGUGAUGAAGGUCUUCGGAUCGUAAAACUCUGUUAUUAGGGAAGAACAAAUGUGUAAGUAACUAUGCACGUCUUGACGGUACCUAACCAGAAAGCCACGGCUAACUACGUG